GCACAAGCGGUGGAGCAUGUGGUUAAUUCGACGCAACGCGAAGAACCUUACCAGGGCUUGACAUCCCCUGACCGCGUAUGAAAGUAUGUUUUCACCUCGGGUGACAGGGAGACAGGUGGUGCAUGGUUGUCGUCAGCUCGUGUCGUGAGAUGUUGGGUUAAGUCCCGCAACGAGCGCAACCCCUACGUUUAGUUGCUAACAGGUGAAGCUGAGCACUCUAGACGAACUGCCGUUGACAAAACGGAGGAAGUGGGGAUGACGUCAAAUCAUCAUGCCCCUUAUGUUCUGGGCUACACACGUGCUACAAUGGCCGGUACAGACGGAGGCGAAGCCGCGAGGCGGAGCAAAUCCGAAAAAGCCGGUCUCAGUUCGGAUUGCAGGCUGCAAUUCGCCUGCAUGAAGUCGGAAUCGCUAGUAAUCGCAGGUCAGCAUACUGCGGUGAAUACGUUCCCGGGCCUU
rnacentral:rRNA from 1 species